rnacentral:rRNA from 1 species
AGAGUUUGAUCAUGGCUCAGAUUGAACGUUGGCGGCAGGCUUUAGACAUGCAAGUCGAGCGGUAACAGAUCGCUAGGAUCCCUUCGGGGUGACUUUGAUGCUGACGAGCGGCGGACGGGUGAGUAACGCGUAGGAAUCUACCCAGUAGCGGGGGAUAGCCCGGGGAAACCCGGAUUAAUACCGCAUACGCCCUACGGGGGAAAGGGGGGGCUCUCUUCGGAGACCUCUCACUAUUGGAGGAGCCUGCGUUGGAUUAGCUUGUUGGUGAGGUAAAGGCUCACCAAGGCUACGAUCCAUAGCUGGUCUGAGAGGACGAUCAGCCACACUGGAACUGAGACACGGUCCAGACUCCUACGGGAGGCAGCAGUCGGGAAUAUUGUGCAAUGGGCGAAAGCCUGACACAGCCAUGCCGCGUGUGUGAAGAAGGCCUUAGGGUUGUAAAGCACUUUCAGUAAGGAAGAAAAAGCCGAGCCAAUAACUCGGUAAUAUGACAUUACUUACAGAAGAAGCACCGGCUAACUCCGUGCCAGCAGCCGCGGUAAUACGGAGGGUGCAAACGUUAAUCGGAAUUACUGGGCGUAAAGCGCGCGUAGGUGGUUUGUUAAGUGGGAUGUGAAAGCCCCAGGCUCAACCUGGGAAUUGCAUUCCAAACUGACGGACUAGAGUACGAUAGAGGGAGGUAGAAUUCAGAGUGUAGCGGUGAAAUGCGUAGAUAUUCUGAGGAAUACCGGUGGCGAAGGCGGCCUCCUGGAUUGAUACUGACACUGAGGUGCGAAAGCGUGGGGAGCAAACAGGAUUAGAUACCCUGGUAGUCCACGCCGUAAACGAUGUCUACUAGCCGUUGGGGGGCUUGACCCCUUAGUGGCGAAGCUAACGCGAUAAGUAGACCGCCUGGGGAGUACGGUCGCAAGAUUAAAACUCAAAUGAAUUGACGGGGGCCCGCACAAGAAAAACCUUACCAGGCCUUGACAUCCUGAGAAUUCGGUAGAGAUACCUUAGUGCCUUCGGGAACUCAGUGACAGGUGUUGCAUGGCUGUCGUCAGCUCGUGUCGUGAGAUGUUGGGUUAAGUCCCGUAACGAGCGCAACCCUUAUCCUUAUUUGCCAGCACUUCGGGUGGGAACUUUAAGGAGACUGCCGGUGACAAACCGGAGGAAGGAGAGGAUGAUGUCAAGUCAUCAUGGCCCUUACGGCCUGGGCUACACACGUGCUACAAUGGGAAGUACAGAGGGCAGCAAUACCGCGAGGUGGAGCAAAUCCCAAAAAACUUCUCGUAGUCCGGAUCGGAGUCUGCAACUCGACUCCGUGAAGUCGGAAUCGCUAGUAAUCGCGAAUCAGCAUGUCGCGGUGAAUACGUUCCCGGGCCUUGUACACACCGCCCGUCACAUCAUGGGAGUGGG